GACGAACGCUGGCGGCGUGCCUAAUACAUGCAAGUUGAGCGAUGAAGCUUGGUGCUUGCACCCAUUUGAAGAGCAGCGAACGGGUGAGUAACGCGUGGGUAAUCUGCCUUUGAGCGGGGGACAACAUUUGGAAACGAAUGCUAAUACCGCAUAACAACUUUAAACAUAAGUUUUAAGUUUGAAAGAUGCAAUUGCAUCACUCAAAGAUGAUCCCGCGUUGUAUUAGCUAGUUGGUGAGGUAAAGGCUCACCAAGGCGAUGGUACAUAGCCGACCUGAGAGGGUGAUAGGCCACAUUGGGAAUGAGAAAAGGCCCAAACUCCUACGGGAGGCAGCAGUAGGGAAUCGUCGGCAAUGGACGAAAGGCUGACCGAGCAACGCCGCGUGAGGGAAGAAGGGUUUCGGAACGUAAAACUCUGUUGGUAGAGAAGAACGUAGGUGAGAGUGGAAAGCUCAUCAAGUGACGGUAACUACCCAGAAAGGGACGGCUAACUACGUG
rnacentral:rRNA from 1 species